rnacentral:rRNA from 1 species
UCCUGGGGGCUGAAGUCGUCCCGAAGGGUAUGGCUGUUUCGACCAUUUUAAAAGUGGUACGCGAGCUGGGGUUCAGAACGUCGUGAGACAGUUCGGUCCCUAUCUGCCGUGGGCGUUGGAUGAUUGAAGGGAGUUGCUCCUAGUACGAGAGGACCGGAGUGAACGAACCUCUGGUGUUCGGGUUGUCACGCCAGUGGCACUGCCCGGUAGCUAAGUUCGGAAUCGAUAACCGCUGAAAGCAUCUAAGCGGGAAGCGAGCCCUGAGAUGAGUCAUCCCUGACCCCUUGAGGGUCCUAAAGGGCCGUUGGAGACCACAACGUUGAUAGGUGGGGUGUGUAAGCGCAGUGAUGUGUUGAGCUAACCCAUACUAAUUACCCGUGAGGCUUAACCAUACAACACCCAAGAAGUGUUCUG